AUACGGGGGGUGCGAAUGUUGUUCGGAAUCACUGGGCGUAAAGCGCGCGCAGGCGGCUUGGUAAGUCAGAUGUGAAAGCCCCGGGCUCAACCCGGGAAGUGCAUUUGAAACUGUCAGGCUUGAGUGCGGUAGAGGGAGGUGGAAUUCUCAGUGUAGAGGUGAAAUUCGUAGAUAUUGAGAGGAACACCGGUGGCGAAGGCGGCCUCCUGGACCGACACUGACGCUGAGGCGCGAAAGCGUGGGGAGCAAACAGGAUUAGAUACCCGUGUAGUCC
rnacentral:rRNA from 1 species